rnacentral:rRNA from 1 species
UACGUAGGGGGCUAGCGUUGUCCGGAAUCAUUGGGCGUAAAGAGCGUGUAGGCGGCCCGGUAAGUCCGCUGUGAAAGUCCAGGGCUCAACCCUGGGAUGCCGGUGGAUACUGUCGGGCUCGAGUCCGGAAGAGGAGUGUGGAAUUCCUGGUGUGAGCGGUGAAAUGCGCAGAUAUCAGGAGGAACACCGGUGGCGAAGGCGGGUCUCGUGGGCCGACACGUGACGCUGGAGGAGCGAAAGCGUGGGGAGCGAACAGGA